ensembl:misc_RNA 7SK 7SK RNA
GGAUGUGAGGGUGAUCUGGCUGUGACAUCUGUCACCCCAUUGAUCACCAGGGUUGAUUCGGCUGAUCUGGCUGACUAGGCAGGUGUCACCUUCCUCCCUCACCACUCCAUGUGCAUCCCUCCCAGUCGAAGAGGAUGACCUUCCCCGAUAGACGAGAGGACCGUUCUUCAACCAAAGGCAUACGAGUAGUUGUGCUCCCCUGCUAGAGCCUCCAGACAAGCUCUCAAGGUCCCUUUAUAGGAGAAUGUAAGGCAGUCAAGCUUCCAAGACUCCAGACACAUCCAAGUGAGGUGCUGCAUGUGGCAGUCUGCCUUUCUUU